UCCCUGGUGGUCCAGUGGUUAAAACUCUGCACUCUCAAUGCAGGGGGCCCAGGCUCGAUCCCUGGUCAGGGAA
rnacentral:tRNA from 1 species